rnacentral:lncRNA from 1 species
UCUGGCCCACGCCCAGCAAGGGCGCGCAUGUGUGGCCCAAGUCCACGCCUUGCAGCAGCCCUGUACAGCCCACAAGCCCGCCCGACAUGUAGGCCUGAGGGGCUGAAAGCACGAGCCCCAUGCUGAAGGGCCAGGAAUUGGCCCAACCCGUAGACAAGCUUUAUGUGGCCAGCACUGACUAGUCUGUCUGACUACACGAGUUACG